UUUUGAACUACUUCUAGAUCCAUUGGAAUGAUAUAAGUUUGCUCCACACCAUUGUUAGAAAUUUGUCCUAUUGGAUCCGUAUCAUUCCCUCUUUCUUUAGAAAAGAUUCGUCCUCGAAUCUUGUUGAUAUUUAUGUCAAGAAGGAAAGCUUUAGGCACCCAUGUAUCUUCACAGACCUCCUUUUGAAUAGGUGGAAAUAGUAUAAAACUUUCAUCAUGGAUGUUUUCAUCAACAACCUGCACAUCAAGAACAAAUAAACUAGACAUAAAAAAUAUUAGUCAUAGAAAGAUCAUGUGGAUGUGACCCAUUCUCCUCUAUAACUUCCAAAACAGUCUUAUUCACCUCCUCCACCUCAUCAAUCAUGUGCUCCCCAUGUCCACCAUCAUUCACAACCUCUUCUAUAAGCUCAUUAAUG
rnacentral:lncRNA from 1 species